rnacentral:rRNA from 1 species
GCCGCGACCCGUUGCUGGGGACGUCGAAGGCCCGGGCGGACUGGUACCCCGACGCCGUGCGUUAGCAAUAGCGUCGACGAAGGGGGAAACCUCCGGUGUCCUGGCUGCCCUGCGACGGUCGUGCAGAUGAGGGGCGAAUAAACGUCACUCUCGCGGCGUGCAAAAGGUCGGUGACCCACCCGACCCGUCUUGAAACACGGACCAAGGAGUCUAACAUGUGUGCGAGUCAUUGGGCUAACUAAACCCACAGGCGUAAUGAAAGUGAAAGGUGGGCGUCGUGUCACGGCGCUCACCGGGGCCGAUCCUCGACAUGCCGUCGCUUCGCCGGUGUCUCUUCCCAUACCAAAGCGGGGCCGCCAAGACGGGGCUGAUCAUGGCGCGGGGUGAGACCCUUUCCCUCGUCGCCCAGCCUCCGGUCCCGUGGGUACCCGGCGAGCGCGACAGUCCGGACGGUGGUCGGUUGGUAGCUUCGGCUGCCUCCGCCGCUGCCGCCUGUACGCAGGGGGGCGCAGGCCCGGGACUUGCCAUGUGACGCCGUCGUGCAAAUCUGUUGUUGGCCACGCCGGCUCUGCUUGGGCUCUCGGUUGGCGGGCCGCGCGUUCAGGCGGGCUUAGGGGCGGGGGCAGUCACUGCCGUCGCCCGGGUCCGCCCCGCGCGGUUUUAGCCUUCCG